rnacentral:rRNA from 1 species
AGAGUUUGAUCAUGGCUCAGGAUGAACGCUAGCGGCAGGCUUAACACAUGCAAGUCGAGGGGUAUAGUUCUUCGGAAUUAGAGACCGGCGCACGGGUGCGUAACGCGUAUGCAAUCUACCUUUCACAGAGGGAUAGCCCAGAGAAAUUUGGAUUAAUACCUCAUAGUAUAGUUUUACCGCAUGGUAGAGUUAUUAAAGUCACAACGGUGAAAGAUGAGCAUGCGUCCCAUUAGCUAGUUGGUAAGGUAACGGCUUACCAAGGCAACGAUGGGUAGGGGUCCUGAGAGGGAGAUCCCCCACACUGGUACUGAGACACGGACCAGACUCCUACGGGAGGCAGCAGUGAGGAAUAUUGGACAAUGGAGGCAACUCUGAUCCAGCCAUGCCGCGUGCAGGAUGACGGUCCUAUGGAUUGUAAACUGCUUUUAUACGAGAAGAAACACUCCUUCGUGAAGGAGCUUGACGGUAUCGUAAGAAUAAGGAUCGGCUAACUCCGUGCCAGCAGCCGCGGUAAUACGGAGGAUCCAAGCGUUAUCCGGAAUCAUUGGGUUUAAAGGGUCCGUAGGCGGUUUAGUAAGUCAGUGGUGAAAGCCCAUCGCUCAACGGUGGAACGGCCAUUGAUACUGCUAAACUUGAAUUAUUAGGAAGUAACUAGAAUAUGUAGUGUAGCGGUGAAAUGCUUAGAGAUUACAUGGAAUACCAAUUGCGAAGGCAGGUUACUACUAAUGGAUUGACGCUGAUGGACGAAAGCGUGGGUAGCGAACAGGAUUAGAUACCCUGGUAGUCCACGCCGUAAACGAUGGAUACUAGCUGUUGGGAGCAAUCUCAGUGGCUAAGCGAAAGUGAUAAGUUCCCCCCUGGA